rnacentral:rRNA from 1 species
GACGAACGCUGGCGGCGUGCCUAAUACAUGCAAGUGGGACGCAAGGAAACACACUGUGCUUGCACACCGUGUUUUCUUGAGUCGCGAACGGGUGAGUAACGCGUAGGUAACCUGCCUAUUAGCGGGGGAUAACUAUUGGAAACGAUAGCUAAUACCGCAUAAUAUUAAUUAUUGCAUGAUAAUUGAUUGAAAGAUGCAAGCGCAUCACUAGUAGAUGGACCUGCGUUGUAUUAGCUAGUUGGUAAGGUAAGAGCUUACCAAGGCGACGAUACAUAGCCGACCUGAGAGGGUGAUCGGCCACACUGGGACUGAGACACGGCCCAGACUCCUACGGGAGGCAGCAGUAGGGAAUCUUCGGCAAUGGACGAAAGUCUGACCGAGCAACGCCGCGUGAGUGAAGAAGGUUUUCGGAUCGUAAAGCUCUGUUGUAAGUCAAGAAAGUGUGUGAGAGUGGAAAGUUCACACAGUGACGGUAGCUUACCAGAAAGAGACGGCUAACUACGUG